CACUGUGAUGCAGGACUCCGCGGGCCACGUGCUUGCCAGGGGCGCUCUUCCUGUGUACACUAGGGAGAGAGUACAGCGCUGUUCUCUCUCUCCAUCCCUCUCCUCUUCCGAACGCUCACUUGCCUGGAAUUGGAGGAAGACCACGGAUUCACUUCAAGAGACUCUGUUCCUUCCUGACUUGAGGCGUGCAGAGAGCUCUCAGUCUGUCCACGUGCAGUCAAGACUAGCAAUUUGUGAGAUGAACCUGCAGUGACAGCUUUCUGGGUCCAGGAACUUCACCAUCUGUAAUGCUUCCAGAGUUGAAAUGCCUGGGUUUGACUCCUAGCUCCACCAUAUACUUUCCACGUGACCUGGGGACUGGGCAAACAAUGGCAAGAAGUUGGAAUUACUAAAUUUAGAAGACCAAGAACAGGGCUACUGUGGAGCUGCAGCUCACGCCUCUGAGGGGAUGCAAUGAUGAAUUUUUCCAUGAUGGAAGAAAAACUGAAAACUGAUCCAACAGAUGCUCCAGGAAGGAGCAGGUCUAUUUUCCUCUUCCAGCCUUGCAGUCUCCGUCCAGCACCCCCUGUUGGCAGAACCUCCAAGGAGCCAGCUAACAAAGCAGAAAUGUGCUUCAUGGAGUCCCAGCCCCAACAUUGCAAAGCAGAGAAAAAAGGAGGGGCUUGAAGGUGAAAGAUAACAGCGAAGUAAUUGGUGAGAUUCAUACAUGUUACGUGUAUCAAUAGCUCCUUUGUUUUUAUUGCUGCAUAAUAUCUGGUUGUAUGAAUAUCACAAUUUACCAUUUUCUUGUUGAUGCACAUUUGGAUUGCUUCCAUCUCUUGACUAUUAUGAAUAAUAAUGAGAAUGAACGUUCUUAGACGUGUUUCCUGGUGCACAUGUGUAUAAGUUUCUGGAGUAUAUGCCUAAAAAUGGAGUUGCUGGGCCGUGGGGGAUGCAUAUACUCAACUUUAAUGGAUAAGGCCAAACAGUUGCCCAAAGUGGGUCUACCAAUGGACACACCCACCAGCCAGCGUAUGAGAGUAGCCAGUUCCUACAUGGUCAAGUCAACUCUUGGUGCUGCUGUCAAUCUUUUACGUUUUAGCCAAUCCGAUAUGAGGAUGGGGUAUGUCAUCGUAGUUUUUAUUUUCAUUUUCCUGAGGACUAAUGACAUUGAGUACAUUUUAUAUGUAUUUAUCAGCAAUUUUAAUAUCCUCUUCUGUGACAUGUCUAUUCAAGUCUCUUGUACAUUUUGCUAUUGGACUAUCUUUUUCUAAUUGAUUUGUAGGAAUUCUUUGUAUAUACAGAAUAUGUCUCCUGUCAGUUACAUAAUACACUUUUUCUUUUGUGAUAACUUACCUUUCCCAC
rnacentral:lncRNA from 1 species